UGGGGAAUAUUGGACAAUGGGGGAAACCCUGAUCCAGCAAUGCCGCGUGUGUGAAGAAGGCCUUCGGGUUGUAAAGCUCUUUCGUUGGGGAAGAAAGGCUUAAGGUUAAUAGCCUUAAGAUAUGACGUUACCCAAAGAAGAAGCACUGGCUAACUCUGUGCCAGCAGCCGCGGUAAUACAGAGAGUGCAAGCGUUAAUCGGAAUUACUGGGCGUAAAGCGCACGUAGGUGGAUACUUAAGUCGGAUGUGAAAGCCCUGGGCUUAACCUAGGAAUUGCAUCCGAUACUGGGUAUCUCGAGUAUGGUAGAGGGAAGUGGAAUUUCCGGUGUAGCGGUGAAAUGCGUAGAUAUCGGAAAGAACACCAGUGGCGAAGGCGGCUUCCUGGACCAAUACUGACACUUAGGUGCGAAAGCGUGGGGAGCAAACA
rnacentral:rRNA from 1 species